rnacentral:rRNA from 1 species
CAGUAGCUAAUACUGAGUGGCAAACGGGUGAGUAUAAUGUGGGAAUCUGCCUUUUGGUUUGGAAUAACAUGAGGAAACUUGUGCUAAUACCGAAUAAGCCUUCACAGGGAAAGUUUUAUACGCCGAAAGAGGAGCCCGCACUUGAUUAGCUAGUUGGUAAGGUAAAAGCUUACCAGGGCAAUGAUCAAUAGCUGUUCUUAGAGGAAGACCAGCCACAUUGGGACUGAGACACGGCCCAGACUCCUACGGGAGGCAGCAGUAAGGAAUCUUGCACAAUGGGGGAAACCCUGAUGCAGCGAUGCCGCGUGAGUGAAGAAGGCCUUUGGGUUGUAAAACUCUUUCGUCGGGGAAGAAAAUGACUGUACCCGAAUAAGAAGGUCCGGCUAACUUCGUGCCAGCAGCCGCGGUAAUACGAAGGGACCUAGCGUAGUUCGGAAUUACUGGGCUUAAAGAGCUCGUAGGUGGUUAGAAAAGUUGAUGGUGAAAUCCCAAGGCUCAACCUUGGAACUGCCAUCAAAACUUUUUAGCUAGAGUGUGAUAGAGGAAAGUGGAAUUUCUAGUGUAGAGGUGAAAUUCGUAGAUAUUAGAAAGAACACCAAAUGCGAAGGCAACUUUCUGGGUCACAACUGACACUGAGGAGCGAAAGCAUGGGUAGCGAAGAGGAUUAGAUACCCUCGUAGUCCAUGCCGUAAACGAUGUGUGCUAGACGUUGGAAAUUUAUUUUCAGUGUCGCAGCGAAAGCAUUAA